rnacentral:rRNA from 1 species
UACGGAGGGGGCUAGCGUUGUUCGGAAUUACUGGGCGUAAAGCGCACGUAGGCGGCUUUGUAAGUUAGAGGUGAAAGCCCGGGGCUCAACUCCGGAAUUGCCUUUAAGACUGCAUCGCUAGAAUUGUGGAGAGGUAAGUGGAAUUCCGAGUGUAGAGGUGAAAUUCGUAGAUAUUCGGAAGAACACCAGUGGCGAAGGCGACUCGCUGGAAAAGUAUUGACGCUGAGGUGCGAAAGCGUGGGGAGCAAACAGG